rnacentral:rRNA from 1 species
GAUGAACGCUGGCGGCGUGCCUAAUACAUGCAAGUCGAGCGAACAGACGAGGAGCUUGCUCCUCUGACGUUAGCGGCGGACGGGUGAGUAACACGUGGAUAACCUACCUAUAAGACUGGGAUAACUUCGGGAAACCGGAGCUAAUACCGGAUAAUAUAUUGAACCGCAUGGUUCAAUAGUGAAAGACGGUUUUGCUGUCACUUAUAGAUGGAUCCGCGCCGCAUUAGCUAGUUGGUAAGGUAACGGCUUACCAAGGCAACGAUGCGUAGCCGACCUGAGAGGGUGAGCGGCCACACGGGAACUGAGACACGGUCCAGACUACUACGGGAGGCAGCAGUAGGGAAUAUGCCGCAAUGGGCGAAAGACUGAAGGAGAAACGCCGCGUGAGUGAUGAAGGUCUUCGGAUCGUAAAACUCUGUUAUUAGGGAAGAACAAAUGUGUAAGUAACUAUGCACGUCGUGACGGUACCUAAUCAGAAAGACACGGCUAACUACGUG